rnacentral:rRNA from 1 species
AUACAUGCAAGUCGAGCGAAUGGAUUAAGAGCUUGCUCUUAUGAAGUUAGCGGCGGACGGGUGAGUAACACGUGGGUAACCUGCCCAUAAGACUGGGAUAACUCCGGGAAACCGGGGCUAAUACCGGAUAACAUUUUGAACCGCAUGGUUCGAAAUUGAAAGGCGGCUUCGGCUGUCACUUAUGGAUGGACCCGCGUCGCAUUAGCUAGUUGGUGAGGUAACGGCUCACCAAGGCAACGAUGCGUAGCCGACCUGAGAGGGUGAUCGGCCACACUGGGACUGAGACACGGCCCAGACUCCUACGGGAGGCAGCAGUAGGGAAUCUUCCGCAAUGGACGAAAGUCUGACGGAGCAACGCCGCGUGAGUGAUGAAGGCUUUCGGGUCGUAAAACUCUGUUGUUAGGGAAGAACAAGUGCUAGUUGAAUAAGCUGGCACCUUGACGGUACCUAACCAGAAAGCCACGGCUAACUACGUGCCAGCAGCCGCGGUAAUACGUAGGUGGCAAGCGUUAUCCGGAAUUAUUGGGCGUAAAGCGCGCGCAGGUGGUUUCUUAAGUCUGAUGUGAAAGCCCACGGCUCAACCGUGGAGGGUCAUUGGAAACUGGGAGACUUGAGUGCAGAAGAGGAAAGUGGAAUUCCAUGUGUAGCGGUGAAAUGCGUAGAGAUAUGGAGGAACACCAGUGGCGAAGGCGACUUUCUGGUCUGUAACUGACACUGAG